rnacentral:rRNA from 1 species
GACGAACGCUGGCGGCGUGCCUAAUACAUGCAAGUCGAGCGGACAGAAGGGAGCUUGCUCCCGGAUGUUAGCGGCGGACGGGUGAGUAACACGUGGGUAACCUGCCUGUAAGACUGGGAUAACUCCGGGAAACCGGAGCUAAUACCGGAUAGUUCCUUGAACCGCAUGGUUCAAGGAUGAAAGACGGUUUUGGCUGUCACUUCCAGAGGGACGCGCGGCGCAUUGGCUAGUUGGUGGGGUAAUGGCUCACCAAGGCGACGAUGCGUAGCCGACCUGAGAGGGUGAUCGGCCACACUGGGACUGAGACACGGCCCAGACUCCUACGGGAGGCAGCAGUAGGGAAUCUUCCGCAAUGGACGAAAGUCUGACGGAGCAACGCCGCGUGAGUGAUGAAGGUUUUCGGAUCGUAAAGCUCUGUUGUUAGGGAAGAACAAGUGCGAGAGUAACUGCUCGCACCUUGACGGUACCUAACCAGAAAGCCACGGCUAACUACGUGCCAGCCGCCGCCGUAACAC